AGCUUUGCAGAGUGGCAGUAUCGUAGCCAAUGAGGUUCAUCCAAGGCGUGAUUAUUGCUAACUGAAACUGAAUUUGUUGCAGUAAUCAUUUCACCAUAUAAGUCAAACCAUUAUGCUGUCUGUAUGCAGUGAUGUAUGUCAGUUAUAUAUCCCAGUACAACUGG
rnacentral:snRNA from 2 species